AACUCGAGGGCAACAUUGGUUAGGAAUAGGAUCAAGAUUAUCAAGGCUACAACUUAAGAAAUAAGGUUGCCACCUUGCACAAAAUCAUUUGUAAGGAGGAAUCAAGAAUGGGGUUUGAAAAGAUAGAAAGGAUAUCUUAGCAAUUCCCACUCCGCCGACCUCUAAUUGUCUGAACACAUUCUCCUUAGACACUGAACACAUUCAAUGUUUCAUCUCCUCUGUCGCUCUCUGCCUCUCUCAUUCUCUCUGCGUACCUUUCUCGUCUCUCCGCCUCUCUCGUAGGUCGUAGCUCUCUCGACUCUCAGCGCAAACGCCUGACCUCGCCUCGCCUCAAUAGUACCGAAGUCGAGAAGACACCGCCAGCGUCGCUGCCGACAGUGCCGUUGCCGCCUCGAACCUCCGCCGCCGUCGCCUCGAACCUCUCGGCAAAACAGUUCAGCACAAACGCCUCGCCUCAACAGUGCCAAAAUCGAGAUGACACCGCCAGCGUCGCCGCUGACAGUGCCGUCGCCGACUCGAACCUCCGCCGCCGCCUCCUCCUCAUCCCUCCAGCUCAUAUGGUUUGGAUGAUGAGAAGUACAAGAAUGAGCAUAUUCAAACAAGUACUGCAAAUCUUGAGCAGAUUGCCAGAGCUAUAUAUGAUGUUGAGGAGGCAACUUCUACUGCCUUUGAUAUCAUCUUAGGGAACAAGGUAAAUCAAUGGAAUUUCCAUCUCUUAUACCCCCUUUCUCACAGGAUGUGUGUGUGUGUUAUUUUAUUUUAUUUUCCUUUAUUCAUUAUUGGUUGCCGUGAAUUUUGGUCUCCUUAUUGAUUUAGAUGAUUAAAUCAGAGAAAAAAACAUCUUUAAUAACAUUCCUUCAACUUUUGGUGGCUCAUCACCCCUCUAGAAGGUCAACACCCUGCAUUUUCUUUUUUCCUGUUAUCCUUUACUAUAUUGUAUAUUAUAAUGUUUUCACCUUUGGAAAUGUGAUUCUUGAUAUAAAUGUCGGAAGGGUAGUAGAGAGAUUCUUGUUAACUUUGAUGAUAUAUGUUCAUCUGAGGCAUUGCCAAGAACAAAGAUGAAACUGUCAGCUGUACCAAAAAGGGUGUGCUGGGACAGUACCAGAUUUGCGGGAAAGAGGUUCCCCAUUGAAAAUGGGUAGGUGUAAAUUUUGAUUUUUAUUUAACAGUAGUUGAUGGCACAUGAAGCAAAAUGAAUCUAAGUUCAUGCUAUAGUUUGCUUUAUUGUGCAUAAGUAAUGGUCUCAUCACUAGAUGUAUAUCCACAGCAGUUGCUCACUGGUAGGCUUCUAAUGGAUGAUUCGGUGGUACUUCUUAUCCUAUUCCUUUAUCACCUCCUCUUAACAAUCCCUCCCCAUCCAAGGAUGUGAGCAAAAAAAGAGAAGGUUUUUUUUUUCUUUGGUUGCCUGAAAGAAAUAUCUUCAAAUCUUCAAUGACUAAGUGACUAUCUACAUGCAUGCUUCUUUAAAAGGAUGAGAUGUACCACAUUUAGUUUUCUUGUUUAGAGGUUGCUAUUUGCUGAGGAGUUUCUGAUGCUAGUACUCUAAGAGUGACUUAUAUUUUUUCAGAUGUUUUGUCAUGGAAGUACGAAUGACACUAGAGGUUUCAGUUCCAACAAGUUGAUUAUGACAAAGCGGUUAUUGAUCUAGUGCGUUCAGAAUGGGCCGACAUUCUAUCAAGUUAUAUAGAGUAGGUAUGAUUUGACGUUGUAAUCAUUUAGACUUGGCUCGUAGAAUUGUUUUUUGUAAUAUUAUGACUUGGAUGAUGAUUCGAUUAGAAUUGGUAAUGAAAGUAUUUUGACUUAUUA